GUGUUUGCUGUGCUGAGUCGCAGCCCCUACUGUCUCCUGUUUCCUCAGUAAGCACAGCAGAACUCGGAGCCGAGGUGAAGGCCUUUCCUGGUCUUUUUUUCCUGUUCCGCUGAAUCCUGAUCAACCUGAAUGCUGCCUGUUGGCAUUGGGAUAGGGAGAGCCACCCAUGCAGACCCAGAUGCUGUAGCCUCACUUUUCUAAGGACCUGGAAGCAUAGCACAGCUUAUGCUUGGAUAAAUCAUAACCACGGCACUCGACUGGGCAGUGAAGCACGGCAAUCUUGAGAUGGCAGAGAU
rnacentral:lncRNA from 1 species